UACGAAGGGGGCUAGCGUUGCUCGGAAUUACUGGGCGUAAAGCGCACGUAGGCGGAUUGUUAAGUCGGGGGUGAAAUCCUGGAGCUCAACUCCAGAACUGCCUUCGAUACUGGCGAUCUCGAGUUCGGGAGAGGUGAGUGGAACUGCGAGUGUAGAGGUGAAAUUCGUAGAUAUUCGCAAGAACACCAGUGGCGAAGGCGGCUCACUGGCCCGAUACUGACGCUGAGGUGCGAAAGCGUGGGGGGCAAACAGG
rnacentral:rRNA from 1 species